GCUGGAGGAGGCAUGUUUUCGAGCAGCUCGGGCACUCUCUUUGGCAGUCCAAGAAGCAUUUCUUCUGCUUCUUCUAGCCUACAGCUCAGUUCCAAUAGUUCAAGUGGGUACAAUUAUCUCCAAGAUGGGAAAAAUGGGUGCCAAAUUUCAGGCUCGGCUCACAUGUCAGCAACAGCCUUGUUGCAAAAGGCAGCACAAAUGGGUGCAACUGCUAGUAACAGUAUCAACUCUCCCAUGAUGCAGAAGAGCUUUGCAAGUAGCAUGGCAGGUCCUGACCAGUUCUCUUCUAUAAGACCACCAUCUUAUGGUGUGGUUCAGCAGCAUGGGACCACCUUAUAUGAUCACUUCCCAUCACAACCUGAACAAACAAGCAUGGUGGGAAUCAACGCUGGAGGAUUCAAUAAUAAUAAUCAGCCCUUGCAAAAAUGCCCACAAG
rnacentral:misc_RNA from 1 species